GCCGGAGUGGUGAAACUGGCAGACGCGCGGGAUUCAAAAUCCCGUGGACUUCGGUCCGUGUGGGUUCGAACCCCACCUCCGGCACCA
rnacentral:tRNA from 1 species